GAUGAACGCUGGCGGCAUGCUUAACACAUACAAGUCGGACGGGCAGUGGUGUUUCCAGUGGCUCUCGGGUUAGUAACGCGUAAGAACCUGCCCUUUGGAUAGGCACCCUAGCUGGAAACGACUGCUACUACCCCGUAGGCCUAGUAGCAAAAGGGGGAAUCAGCCCGAUGAGGGGCUUGCGUCUGAUUAGCUAGUUGUUGAUGCAAUAGCUUACCAAGGCGAUGAUCAGUAGCUGGUCAGAGAGGAUGAGCAGCCAAACUGGGAGUGAGCCACGACCAAGAAACCUACGGGAGGGAGCAGUGGGGAAUCUGAGGAAAGGGGCGAAAGCGAGACGGAGCAAUGCAGCGUGAAAGUAGAAGACUAAGGGGGAGUGAACUGGUAAUCCAGGAGGAGAAGCAAUGACGGAAUCUGGCAAAUAAGCAUCGGCUAACACUGU
rnacentral:rRNA from 1 species